GAUGAAGAACGUAGCGAAAUGCGAUAAGUAAUGUGAAUUGCAGAAUUCAGUGAAUCAUCGAAUCUUUGAACGCACAUUGCGCCCGUCAGUAUUCUGGCGGGCAUGCCUGUUCGAGCGUCAUUACGCCCCUCAAGUCCCCUGUGGACUUGGUGUUGGGGAUCGGCGAGGCUGGUUUUCCAGCACAGCCGUCCCUUAAAUUAAUUGGCGGUCUCGCCGUGGCCCUCCUCUGCGCAGUAGUAAAACACUCGCAACAGGAGCCCGGCGCGGUCCACUGCCGUAAAACCCCCCAACUUUUUAUAGUUGACCUCGAAUCAGGUAGGACUACCCGCUGAGUUUAAGCAUAUCAAUAAGCGGAGGA
rnacentral:misc_RNA from 1 species